rnacentral:rRNA from 1 species
AGAACGAACGCUGGCGGCAUGCCUAACACAUGCAAGUCGAACGGAUGGCUUCGGCCAUUAGUGGCGCACGGGUGCGUAACGCGUGGGAAUCUGCCCUUAGGUUCGGAAUAACUCAGGGAAACUUGAGCUAAUACCGGAUAAUGUCUUCGGACCAAAGAUUUAUUGCCUAGGGAUGAGCCCGCGUAGGAUUAGCUUGUUGGUGAGGUAAAAGCUCACCAAGGCGACGAUCCUUAGCUGGUCUGAGAGGAUGAUCAGCCACACUGGGACUGAGACACGGCCCAGACUCCUACGGAGCAGCAGUGGGGAUAUGACAAUGGGCGAAAGCCUGAUCCAGCAAUGACCGCGUGAGUGAUGAAGCCUUAGGGUGUAAAGCUCGUUUACCGGGAUGAUAAUGACAGUACCGGAGAAUAAGCUCCGGCUAACUCCGUGCCAGCCAGCCGA